rnacentral:snRNA from 1 species
GUGCUCAUUUUUGCAGCACAUAUGCUAAAAUUGGAAUGAUACAGAGAAGAUUAGCAUGGUUCCUGUGCGAGGAUGACACACAAAUUUGUGAAGUGUUCCAUAUUUUU